AAGCAACGUGAAGAACCUUACCAGGUCUUGACAUCCUCUGACAAUCCUAGAGAUAGGACGUCCCCUUCGGGGGCAGAGUGACAGGUGGUGCAUGGUUGUCGUCAGCUCGUGUCGUGAGAUGUUGGGUUAAGUCCCGCAACGAGCGCAACCCUUGAUCUUAGUUGCCAGCAUUCAGUUGGGCACUCUAAGGUGACUGCCGGUGACAAACCGGAGGAAGGUGGGGAUGACGUCAAAUCAUCAUGCCCCUUAUGACCUGGGCUACACACGUGCUACAAUGGACAGAACAAAGGGCAGCGAAACCGCGA
rnacentral:rRNA from 1 species